GAACGCGAAGAACCUUACCUGGGCUAGACAACAUCAGACAGUCCUAGAGAUAGGAUCUUCCCUUCGGGGACUGGUGGAUCAGGUGCUGCAUGGCUGUCGUCAGCUCGUGUCGUGAGAUGUUGGGUUAAGUCCCGCAACGAGCGCAACCCUUGCCUUUAGUUGCCAUCAGGUAAAGCUGGGCACUCUAAGGGGACUGCCGGCGUUAAGCAGGAGGAAGGUGGGGAUGACGUCAAGUCCUCAUGGCCCUUAUGUCCAGGGCUACACACGUGCUACAAUGGACGGUACAAAGGGCAGCAAACCCGCGAGGGGGAGCCAAUCCCAAAAAGCCGUUCUCAGUUCGGAUUGGAGUCUGCAACUCGACUCCAUGAAGUCGGAAUCGCUAGUANUCGCGGAUCAGCACGCCGCGGUGAAUACGUUCCCGGGUCUUGUACACACC
rnacentral:rRNA from 1 species